GGAAGGUUACAUUGGCAGUCGAAGGGGCAUCGGGAGGGAAGCUUGCUUUCCUUGCCGGCGACCGGCGCACGGGUGAGUAACACGUAUGCAACCUGCCCUCUUCAGGGGGACAACCUUCCGAAAGGGAGGCUAAUCCCGCGUAUAUCGGUUUCGGGCAUCCGGGAUCGAGGAAAGAUUCAUCGGAAGGGGAUGGGCAUGCGGCGCAUUAGCUUGACGGCGGGGUAACGGCCCACCGUGGCGACGAUGCGUAGGGGUUCUGAGAGGAAGGUCCCCCACACUGGUACUGAGACACGGACCAGACUCCUACGGGAGGCAGCAGUGAGGAAUAUUGGUCAAUGGGAGAGAUCCUGAACCAGCCAAGCCGCGUGAGGGAAGACGGCCCUAUGGGUUGUAAACCUCUUUUGUCGGAGAACAAAACCCGGGACGUGUCCCGGACUGCGUGUAUCCGAAGAAAAAGCAUCGGCUAACUCCGUGCCAGCAGCCGCGGUAAUACGGAGGAUGCGAGCGUUAUCCGGGUUUAUUGGGUUUAAAGGGUGCGUAGGCGGUCCGUUAAGUCAGCGGUAAAAUUGCGGGGCUCAACCCCGUCGAGCCGUUGAAACUGGCAGACUUGAGUUGGCGAGAAGUACGCGGAAUGCGCGGUGUAGCGGUGAAAUGCAUAGAUAUCGCGCAGAACUCCGAUUGCGAAGGCAGCGUACCGGCGCCAGACUGACGCUGAGGCACGAAAGCGUGGGGAUCGAACAGGAUUAGAUA
rnacentral:rRNA from 1 species